UUUAUUAGUGGAGUUAUAUGCAGUUAAUAUACCUGCCUUCAGUGUGUGCAGAACAUUUUCCUUGUGGAAGUCUGGUGCGGUGGAAAUGCUGGAGAGAUCAGAAGUAGGCAGAGCACCCGGCAGACAGAAAGGAGGAAGCAGGCUCCCCACCAAGCAGAGAGCCCAAUGCUGGGUUCCAUUCCAGGACCCUGAGAUCAUGACCAGAGCUGAAGGCAGAGGCUUAACCCACUGAGCCACCCAGGCGCCCCUCGCUCCUGCAUUCUAACAACGUGCUUGCAUGACCUUGAAAAUGUGCAGCUCAGCUCGAGGUCUGGGGAAUGUCAAGGGGAGAGGGCCCCACGGCAAAAUGCCCCACUAUGCUCUGAAUCCACUACCACUAUGCCAAAGACACACUUCACCGUAAGUAAAUUUUAUCUCAAUUAUGAUUACUUGACCUUGGUAGAUAGCUAA